AUUUGAUUUUGUUCCAAUACUGACGUCUGUCAUUUGGUGACAUUAUGUCCGCCCUAGCGGCGGUUUGGGGCACUACUAAACGGAGGGAUAGUGAAUUUCUGAUCGAGAUGGAGCCACAGGUAUUUUGUUUCCACAGCGACUAGGAUUCGACAAUUGUUUAUAGUUUCUGAAGCGCAAGAAUGUUGGUGGAUGGUAAAGAUGACUUGUUGACAAGAAAAUUCAAUUAAUUAUAUAAUUCAUCUCGACUAUGAAUGGAAGUUUUUUAUGAUAAGAAUUAUACAUUGACUGUAGUAUUUUUUCUACGGCAGUAAUACAACUAAGCUGGAAUUUUUUAAACCCUUGGUGAUAUUCAUAGUGAACACACUGUUUACAUUACCACUACAGCAACACUACAAAAUAAACUUCAGCCUCUGAAAACGAUAACUUGGUUAUCGGAACGCGCGUCAAACAGUGUAAUUGUGAAUGUUUGUUUAGUGGUGGUGUAAACAGUGUAUUCA